rnacentral:rRNA from 1 species
UACGUAGGGUGCGAGCGUUGUCCGGAAUUACUGGGCGUAAAGGGCGCGUAGGCGGCCUUCUAAGUCGAACGUGAAAUCCCCGGGCUCAACCCGGGAACUGCGUCCGAUACUGGAAGGCUUGAAUCCGGGAGAGGGAUGCGGAAUUCCAGGUGUAGCGGUGAAAUGCGUAGAUAUCUGGAGGAACACCGGUGGCGAAGGCGGCAUCCUGGACCGGCAUUGACGCUGAGGCGCGAAAGCCAGGG